rnacentral:lncRNA from 1 species
CUGCCAACACCUGAGCUCACACUUCCAGCCUCCAGAACUGGAGAACACCCAAGGAAUGGGACGGUGCUGUCAAGAGGACAUGGAGAAGAAAACUCUUGAACCAAGGAGGACUUAGAAACACGGAGGAGGACCUGGAUGUGCCCCCAUUUAUGAUGGCGCUAGAGCCAGUGGCUUCUCUCUUGCUCGCUCUAGCUGUCUUUUCUUAAGCUCUGGGAAAGUGGUAUUUAGCUCUCAAUUUCCAGGGCUCUCAUUCUAUAUUUUGCCCCAGGGUUGUCACUAAAUCCAGUUUGGUCAGCAUUAGCUAAAGAAGUCUUUUCCAGCUUUAUGACCAGGAAUGUCUUUUCUUAUGAACCUGGGACUCAUCCUUUUGGAAUAUCGUUUACAAGGAAGAUGGCUGCCCUCUCUCCCAGCUUCUGUGAAAAGCCGAGAAAGAAGGAAACAGUUCUGUGAAUAUUUCCGUAACUCUAUGGAGCUCCUGGAACUUCUGCCACCCUCUUGCUACCAACCUGUAGAGGAAACCAUCACGAACUUCAACAGAGAAACUGAGAACCUCAGCCCCUGUUGUCGUGGUUCAGCCACUGAGUCAACACACUCGGGGACCCACUUGAUAACUCAAUCAACUUGGAUAUUUCUCACCAUUGACUUAAGAAAGCAGAGCAGACACUGUGCUGGGGACUUUGAGCAAUGCAGAGGAAUGGAGAAUGCCCCCCAAGAACUUAGAAGAGAUGGACAUUUGCAUUAUUCUCUGUAAUGACUGCACAGUGUGAGUCCAGCCUACAAAAGGCCACCGAGUUGAUUGAUUCGGAAGUUCAGUGAUAUUAAGGCUCUUUCCUUUUCUCUGGUCUACCAUCCUGGGCAUUUCCUUCAACCUCAAGUAGGUAGCAGGACUGUUGUAGUGGUAUCAGGUAUUACAUCUAGACAUGGAACAAGAGAAGUUAUUUCUUUCCUAUAACUUUCUAUGGAACUAAUUUUUUUUUCACUAAGUACUUCCCAGAAGAAAAACUUCCUUCUUUUUGGAAAAUACUAAGUCAUCUAUCCAUGUAUGAACCAAUCAAUGCCAAGGAGAUGGAUUACCAUCACACCCAUCCAUGAAGAUAACCCCAAGGCUCAUGGUUCUGUGCAAAAGGAGUAGAUAUCUGAACAAGAUUUUGACUCUAUUGGGAGCAAAAGAGGAUGAUGGUUGCUGGGAAGGUUACCAACAAAGAUCACUACACUGGCCCAACUUACUGUUGACACAGUAAAGUGUCCCGCACUUGUAUGCUAGGAUUAUUAUCACAGAUUUGGCUUCUGACACACUCAUUGCUUUGGAGAGGAUGGUUAAGUCAGAAAAAAGACUUUUGAGACUCAAAAUUCUGGACCCCGAUUCUGCUUGGAGCCAAGAUAAAGUUGUGUUUGCUCCAGGUUAUCGGCAUUGUGCCUGCACUGAAUAAAAACAAGCAGCUCCAACUUCUCAGGGCUGCUCUCUGGCCACUAGAGCCAGGCAGUCACCUAGCUGCUGUUAUGCUGCAUACCUGUCUCUGAGUACUCGCUUCAUCCAUCGGCCAGGGUCUGUGGGACAGACCAGGCAGGUGGUGCCCCAUGUGAGGAACGCUGCAAUGGAUUGCAAGGGAACCCCUGAAAACAAAUGUGAAGUGACUGAGCAGUGUUAACCUUAGAAGACUAGAACCUAAUGAGUUAUGGCAAACAGAUGUUAUGCACGUCCCUGAAUUUGGAAAACUAAGGUCCUCUUUGGAUUCCAGCACGAGGCAUCAAACCAUACCAUGGCAUGGCUAGGACCCAACCCGGUACCAAAAUGAAGAAAAUGACCCUACAGGACCCACAAUCCCGGAUGAUGUGGCUUCCUUGGAUGACACAGGCCCUGGACAUUACCUGGGGGAUGCUGAAGAAGACAACUCAGGAGGCCAAGCAAAUCCUGCUCCAGGCACAGACACCAUUCACUCCAGGAAGCUGCCAUUCAUUCGACAUAAGUAGGUGCUUCAUCUGAUAAGCGCUGCUUGUGUAAUUUAUCAAUGACAGAGAAGGCAGAUAGCAGCAUGCAUACUUGGGGCUGCAUUUGAAGGAGAGCAACAUCCCUUUGUUUUCACAGAGGAGAACAAGCAUGAGUUGAGAUUGUGGUGCUUCUUGAAGUCUCAUCCAGAUCAGAAACCUGCUGCUCUGUCCACAUUCCAUCCACCAAAGCAACCCAUAUGGCCAUGUCCAGCAUCAGAUGGGGAAAGGCAGUUCUCCUCUAGCACGAGGAGCUGCAAAGCCACAUGGCAAAGGAUGAGUGUGUAAAAAAUAAAUGCAGGAGGGCAGGAGGCAUUGGGAACAAUGA